AAUAUAAUUAUCUUGGUCUAACUUAUACUGUUUAUUAUACCGCUAUUCGCAGGAAUAUCUUUCUCUGCUCUGAUUGCAACGCUGCCUCGUUCAAAAAUCAUAACACCGCCGCGGCCGCCACGUUUACCAGCCGGAGCCUCAAAUCAUGUCCCUUUGUGGUGAUAAAGAGGACACAGCCUGGUGUGAAGCUACAUUUAUUACGGAAGGAUGCCAGCCGGGACCCGAACACUUCCAAUAUCAUCCAAGAGAAUGUGGCAGCUGAAGGGGGAGAGGCCAAGAAAGAGGCCAAGGGUGAAGACAUUUAGCCACCUCCCCUGAAGUACAUGGCAGCAUUCAACCUUCUCGGUGAGGUGCAGGAAUGUGCUUUCCAUUGCAGUGCACCAGCUCCAUGUACUGAUUUUGGGUGUGAACUUGAUGGGGUUGGAGGAAACUCGACUCAGCCAUCAAGCUCACCACAAUAUAACAUGAAAAGUGAAAAUUGCUGCACACAACAGUCUGCCGUCUGCACCAGGAGGCAAGGCAGCUCAAAGCCCAGGCUGUUACAACUCCUGGGCAGUUUUUGCCCAGAGCCAGCAAUUUUUUAGAUCCAAUAGGGAUGGAUUUUUUCUGAGGUCAGGUUCAACAUGCUGCAAGAUGCCAAGAUCUAAGCCUAGUAGGAGAUAUGGGUUACAAGAGAGGAGGUUUGCUCUGGCCUUAUACUAUCAAAGUCCAAAUGCUAAUAGAUUUCUGAGCACAGCAUUUCACUUGCCUUCAAUUUCAACACUUCACUCAUGACUCAGGGGUAUUUCAGUACAUGUUGGCUGGAGCAAACAGACUCUGACAGCCCUGCAGCAAAGAGCACAGGCUUUGUCAAAAGAAGAGAAACUUCAUGGGAUUUGCCAUUAUUUAGUAUUACUCUUGUUACGCCAAGAAUUUCUUUCCAUAUACUUUACCAAAUAUUGCAAGUAAUGCACCAUUGUUGGGCUUGCUUGUUAUAAAUCAGAUCUUGUUCAAUUAACAAGCUUUGGCUGUCUGCCACUUUCCAGUUGUAAUGCAAGGAAUCAUUUAUCUUCCCUGCUAGAUAUUACAUGUAAUGCACCAUUGUUGGUUUUGCUUGUUAUAAAUCAGAUCUUGUUCAGUUAAAAAGCUUUAGGUGUCUGCCACUUUCCAACUGUAAUACAAGGAAUCCCCUGCCAGAUAUCGCAUGUAAUGCACCAUUGUUGGUUUUGCCUAUUAUAAAUCAGAUCUUGUUCAGCUCACAAGCUUUGAACAUCUGCCAUUGUUUAUUUCAGGUGUAAUGCUUGGAAGCAUUUGUUCUCAUCCCUACCCAACAGUAUGCAAUGCUUUAUUGUGGAUUUUGCCUGUUAUAUUUAAUCUUGUUCAGGUAGCAAGCUUUUGGUGUCUGCCUUACCUAAUAUGUCCUGCAGUGACACUUGGAUUGGUUUCAUAAUGUGAAAUACAGCAUGUAAUUUCAUCACACUAAGUGUCUAUCAUCACGUGUCUGGCAUCAUUAAUGUGGCUUCCAGGAGUAAUCUUGUUUGUAUUACAGCUUGCAAAUUUUUUUCUGCUUUAUAUGAUAUACAUAAUCACAUAGGUAUGAUUUACAAAAUGUAAUGGCAGUUGAUAUUCUUGACUAAUGCCUCAUAAACCUUGUGAAAAAUAAUUGUUUUUUGAGGGGGGGGGGGGACAGAGAGUGGUUUGUUUGGUUGGCCAGUUCAAGGAGUUUCAUAUCAAAUGAUUUUAUUACAUCCAACUUUAAUGUGUGCUAGAAACAUAUAUUUUAUUACAUCCAACUUUAAUGUGUGCUAGAAACAUAUUUUAUUACAUCCAACUUUAAUGUGUGCUAGAAACAUAUUUUAUUACAUCCAACUUUAAUGUGUGCUAGAAACAUAUAUUUUAUUACAUCCAACUUUAAUGUGUGCUAGAAACAUAUAUUUUAUUACAUCCAACUUUAAUGUGUGCUAAAAACAUAUAUUUUAUUACAUCCAACUUUAAUGUGUGCUAGAAACAUAUAUUUUAUUACAUCUAACUUUAAUGUGUGCUUCCUGCAAUAAAUGCUACAUGUUUAUUGAUGUAGCCUAUGAAAUACAUAUCACUCUCUGCCCUGUAAUUUAAUUGGUGUGUCGCAUACUGCAGCAUAACUUUCCUGCUAUUUUCUUACACUAUGAGUUGCCUUAUUUUGUCUCAUUUGCUUUUAUCAUAUGUGCCUCCGUUGCAUAGUUGUGCCUACUGAGCUUAAUAUCUUCAUGACCCUAACACCAUGGUCAGAGCUUGUGAGAUCAUACCGUGUCCUACAUUCCAUUUUCACCUCCAGGCUCGCCUGUCUCCCAGGACCACCAAGUUAUUGCAUUCCAUUUAAAACAACUCAUGUGUUACCUUCUUAAUGUCCUCCAUCAUGUAUUUCAGCAUGUUUUAUGAUGCUUUGCUCUUAUAUUGAUGUGCCUUGCAACAUUUUUAUACAGUUUUCAUUGUAUAUAACGCACCAUUGUUGGUUUUGCCUGUUGUAAAUUGGGUCAUGUUCAGUUAACAAGCUUUGAGUGUCUCCCAUUGUUUAUUUCAGUUGUAAUGCUUAGAAGCUUUUGUUCUCUGCCCUGUCAAGCAGUAUGCAAUGCUUGCCAUUAUCUGGCACUUGUACAGUUAGUAUGAUAUUUUUACUCAGCUAAGAGUAUUUUGUAAAAGGUAAAGGCAAGGCUGGGGGCAUACGCUGUAGCAGUGCGUGGCCUCGGUGCUCAUCUCUGUAACAUUAGCCCAUGAGCCUGUGGUGUUAGGGAACCCAUUACCCUGGGACACAGGACCAGUGUGACAUCCGGGUUACCACAGUUGCAAAGGCAUUAUAGUAAUUUAGCAUGCAUAGAAUGUUGUAUACUUUGCUUGUAUUUAAAGCACUGGAUAUGUUUGCUACACACACACACACACACACACAUACACACA